GGCUCGGCCGGGCCGGAGCCGCCGCCGCCCUCGCACCCAGCGCCGCUUGUCGCGUUCCGCCGCUCCUCCUCCGCCCCUCCGCGGGCACGGGGGAUCCGCUCGCCGCAGACCGCAGGGAAAACCGCGCCUGGGAUCCAGCCUGGUACCAUGGGAGUGAAAUAACUCGUGUCAUAAGCCGUUGCUACUAGAAUUACUGCGCCUUAGAGGUGCGCUUAGGUGACUGCUCGGCGGUAUAUGAAAGGAGGACAGAAAAUAGGGCAUCUAUCUCAAGUAAUGACAAGCCAAUUGAUUCCUGUCAACACUUGGACAACCAUGAAUGUGCAAAAUGAGAAGCCAGCAGUGGAAAUAUACUGUGAAUAAAAAGUGAAAUAAAAAGUGAAAGCAGA